rnacentral:rRNA from 1 species
UAUUGGACAAUGGGGGAAACCCUGAUCCAGCAACGCCGCGUGUGUGAAGAAGGCCUGAGGGUUGUAAAGCACUUUAGGUGGGGAGGAUGGUAGAGCAGGUUAAGAGCUAGUUUUAUUGACGUUACCCGCAGAAUAAGCACCGGCUAACUCCGUGCCAGCAGCCGCGGUAAUACGGAGGGUGCAAGCGUUAAUUCGAAUUACUGGGCGUAAAGAGUGCGUAGGCGGUUGAGUAAGUUAUCUGUGAAAUCCCUGGGCUUAACCUAGGUGGGAAAGAUAAAACUACUUAACUAGAGUGUGGUAGAGGAUAGUGGAAUUUCCGGUGUAGCGGUUAAAUGCGUAGAGAUCGGAAGGAACACCAGUGGCGAAGGCGGCAAUUCGCCAACACCACGCGAAACACACU